UACGUAGGGCGCAAGCGUUGUCCGGAAUUAUUGGGCGUAAAGAGCUCGUAGGCGGUCUGUCACGUCGGAUGUGAAAGCCCGGGGCUUAACCCCGGGUCUGCAUUCGAUACGGGCAGACUAGAGUGUGGUAGGGGAGAUCGGAAUUCCUGGUGUAGCGGUGAAAUGCGUAGAUAUCGGGAGGAACAUCAGUGGCGAAGGCGGCCCUCUGGUCCAGUACUGACACUCAAGUGCGAAAGCGUGGGGAGCAAACAGG
rnacentral:rRNA from 1 species